rnacentral:rRNA from 1 species
CCUACGGGAGGCAGCAGUCGGGAAUAUUGCGCAAUGGAGGAAACUCUGACGCAGUGACGCCGCGUAUAGGAAGAAGGCUUUCGGGUUGUAAACUUCUUUUCUGAGGGACGAAGAAAGUGACGGUACCUCAGGAAUAAGCCACGGCUAACUACGUGCCAGCAGCCGCGGUAAUACGUAGGUGGCAAGCGUUAUCCGGAUUUAUUGGGUGUAAAGGGCGUGUAGGCGGGAAAGCAGGUCAGAUGUGAAAACUCAGGGCUCAACCCUGAGCCUGCAUUUGAAACUGUUUUUCUUGAGUGCUGGAGAGGCAAUCGGAAUUCCGUGUGUAGCGGUGAAAUGCGUAGAUAUACGGAGGAACACCAGUGGCGAAGGCGGAUUGCUGGACAGUAACUGACGCUGAGGCGCGAAAGCGUGGGGAGCAAACAGGAUUAGAUACCCGGGUAGUC